CCUACGGGAGGCAGCAGUGAGGAAUAUUGGUCAAUGGGCGUAAGCCUGAACCAGCCAAGUCGCGUGAGGGAUGAAGGUUCUAUGGUUUGUAAACUUCUUUUAUAGGGGAAUAAAGGUAUCCACGUGUGGAUAUUUGCAUGUACCCUAUGAAUAAGCAUCGGCUAACUCCGUGCCAGCAGCCGCGGUAAUACGGAGGAUGCGAGCGUUAUCCGGAUUUAUUGGGUUUAAAGGGUGCGUAGGUUGUUUUUUAAGUCAGCGGUGAAAGUUUGUGGCUCAACCAUAAAAUUGCCGUUGAAACUGGAAGACUUGAGUGUGUUUGAGGUAGGCGGAAUGCGUGGUGUAGCGGUGAAAUGCACAGAUAUCACGCAGAACUCCGAUUGCGAAGGCAGCUUACUAAGCCAUAACUGACACUGAAGCACGAAAGCGUGGGGAUCAAACAGGAUUAGAUACCCGAGUAGUC
rnacentral:rRNA from 1 species